rnacentral:rRNA from 1 species
GACGAACGCUGGCGGCGCGCCUAACACAUGCAAGUCGAACGGAGUCAAGAGGAGCUUGCUUUUCUUGACUUAGUGGCGAACGGGUGAGUAACGCGUGAGUAACCUGCCCUGGAGUGGGGGACAACAGUUGGAAACGACUGCUAAUACCGCAUAAGCCCACGGAUCCGCAUGGAUCUGCGGGAAAAGGAUUUAUUCGCUUCAGGAUGGACUCGCGUCCAAUUAGCUAGUUGGUGAGGUAACGGCCCACCAAGGCGACGAUUGGUAGCCGGACUGAGAGGUUGAACGGCCACAUUGGGACUGAGACACGGCCCAGACUCCUACGGGAGGCAGCAGUGGGGGAUAUUGCACAAUGGGGGAAACCCUGAUGCAGCGACGCCGCGUGGAGGAAGAAGGUUUUCGGAUUGUAAACUCCUGUCGUUAGGGACGAUAAUGACGGUACCUAACAAGAAAGCACCGGCUAACUACGUGCCAGCAGCCGCGGUAAAACGUAGGGCGCAAGCGUUGUCCGGAAUUACUGGGUGUAAAGGGAGCGCAGGCGGACCGGCAAGUUGGAAGUGAAAACUAUGGGCUCAACCCAUAAAUUGCUUUCAAAACUGCUGGCCUUGAGUAGUGCAGAGGUAGGUGGAAUUCCCGGUGUAGCGGUGGAAUGCGUAGAUAUCGGGAGGAACACCAGUGGCGAAGGCGACCUACUGGGCACCAACUGACGCUGAGGCUCGAAAGCAUGGGUAGCAAACAGGAUUAGAUACCCUGGUAGUCCAUGCCGUAAACGAUGAUUACUAGGUGUUGGAGGAUUGACCCCUUCAGUGCCGCAGUUAACACAAUAAGUAAUCCACCUGGGGAGUACGACCGCAAGGUUGAAAACUCAAAGGAAAUUGACGGGGGCCCGCACAAAGCAGUGGAGUAUGUGGUUUAAAUUCGAAGCAACGCGAAGAACCUUACCAGGUCUUGACAUCCGAUGCAUAGCUUAGAGAUAAAGUGAAGUCCUUCGGGACAUCGAGACAGGUGGUGCAUGGUUGUCGUCAGCUCGUGUCGUGAGAUGUUGGGUUAAGUCCCGCAACGAGCGCAACCCUUAUUGCCAGUUACUACGAAAAGAGGACUCUGGCGAGACUGCCGUUGACAAAACGGAGGAAGGUGGGGAUGACGUCAAAUCAUCGAUGCCCUUUAUGACCUGGGCUACACACGUACUACAAUGGCGUUUAACAAAGAGAAAGCAAGACCGCGAGGUGGAGCAAAACUCGAAAAACAACGUCUCGGUUCGAGAUUGCAGGCUGCAACUCGCCUGCAUGAAAGUCGGAAUUGCUAGGAAUCGCGGAUCAGCAUGCCGCGGUGAAUACGUUUCCCGGGCCU